GUGGGCAUUUUUGUCUUUUAAGCUGUCACAUAUUUCUUUCCCUCCGAAUUUCUCCAAAUUGGGAGAAUUGGAAAACUAGUUCAACGGAAGAAAAGAGAGGGAGAGGUAUAUCCUCCCUUUCUCUUCCCCUUCCUCAAAAAUUAAUAUCCCAACAAAGAAAAGAGAAUCCCUCUCUUUCUUUUCCCUCUAAAUCCCUCAAUCCAAAUAAAGCAUUAGAGAAAGAGAAGGAUGGAUAGAGAAGGGGAGAAGA
rnacentral:lncRNA from 1 species